AGGCUUCGCAUGGACGAAGUCUGACGGAGCACGCCGCGUGAGUGAUGAAGGUUUUCGGAUCGUAAAGCUCUGUUGUUAGGGAAGAACAAGUACCGUUCGAAUAGGGCGGUACCUUGACGGUACCUAACCAGAAAGCCACGGCUAACUACGUGCCAGCAGCCGCGGUAAUACGUAGGUGGCAAGCGUUGUCCGGAAUUAUUGGGCGUAAAGCGCGCGCAGGCGGUUUCUUAAGUCUGAUGUGAAAGCCCCCGGCUCAACCGGGGAGGGUCAUUGGAAACUGGGGAACUUGAGUGCAGAAGAGGAGAGUGGAAUUCCACGUGUAGCGGUGAAUC
rnacentral:rRNA from 2 species